GGGCCGUCGGGGCAAUCGGGAGUUGGCAAAGACUACCAGGACAUAAAAGCAUGGUCUGUUUUCAGAGGCAUAGCAAACCAAAAAUAUACAAAAUCCAGAAGUAAAGAGCAAGAAGCAAGGGAUUCCGUGACUGUUGUGUGCUGCCUGAACAAAAACUCUAAGGAGCAAGAGGCAGCUUUGCUCUGCACCUUGGCCUCCCUGCAGCAGAGUGCAUGACGGGAAGAUGCUGCUGCCAUCAGUGGCAAUCUGUGGUGCUGUGAGGAGCACAAGGUAGGUACCAGUUGCAUACUCUAAAGGAGAAAAGAUCUCUUUCCCCCUACCGUGUGUUUGCCAAGAUACCCUUGAAAGACCCAAGGAAUGUUAGGAUAAGACAAACCCUUCACAAAC
rnacentral:lncRNA from 1 species